GAUGAACGCUGGCGGCGUGCCUAACACAUACAAGUCGAACGAAGCACUUUAAAUAGAUUUCUUCGGAAUGAAGUUUUUUGUGACUUAGUGGCGGACGGGUGAGUAACGCGUGGGUAACCUGCCCAGUACUGGGGGACAACAGUUGGAAACGACUGCUAAUACCGCAUAAGCCUACGGUGUCGCAUGACACAGUAGGAAAAAUUCCGGUGGUACUGGAUGGGCCCGCGUCUGAUUAGCUAGUUGGUAAGGUAAUGGCUUACCAAGGCGACGAUCAGUAGCCGGCUUGAGAGAGUGAACGGCCACAUUGGGACUGAGACACGGCCCAAACUCCUACGGGAGGCAGCAGUGGGCAAUAUUGCACAAUGGGGGAAACCCUGAUGCAGCAACGCCGCGUGAGUGAAGAAGUAUUUCGGUAUGUAAAGCUCUAUCAGCAGGGAAGAUAAUGACGGUACCUGACUAAGAAGCACCGGCUAAAUACGUGCCAGCCGCCGCCGUAA
rnacentral:rRNA from 1 species